UACGUAGGUGGCAAGCGUUGUCCGGAUUUACUGGGCGUAAAGCGCGCGCAGGCGGUUCGCUAAGUCCGGGGUGAAAGCCCCCGGCUCACCUGGGGGAGGGCUUUGGAGACUGGCGGACUGGAGGCAGGCAGAGGUCGGUGGAAUUCCCGGUGUAGUGGUGAAAUGCGUAGAGAUCGGGAGGAACACCCGUGGCGAAGGCGGCCGGCUGGGCCUGUUCUGACGCUGAGGCGCGAAAGCGUGGGGAGCGAACCGG
rnacentral:rRNA from 1 species